rnacentral:lncRNA from 1 species
GAGGGAUGGAGCAGUGGAGAGAGAUGGUGGCUGAGACCCGCCUGAGGAUUCACCAGGGAGCAGCCCUGGUGAAUCCUCAUCCAAGGACCUCAUCCAAGGACAGCCAGCCUGUCAGCAGGAAGGGUGGGGACCCGCAGAGCUAGGACCUCGCUGCCCAGCCAGCCUUUUUUUGCCUUCGAGAGAGGAAGAAGGGAGGGGAUGGGAACGCCGGGACGGUGCAAGCCCACUAGGGCUGUGGCCGCCUUUACCUUUGUACUCCUAAGCGGUAGCACGGCGCGGCCCGCAGGGUCUGUUCCACUGCCCCCAGAGCGACUGGGUCCCGCGCGCCCCUGGGGCUGCCGCAGCCACUCCUGAGCCCGCUGCUGCUAAAAGAGGAUCCGGCUCAUCCCAACUCUUGAUUAUCCCAGAAGAGAGCUCCUAGCGUUGUAGGCGCUCACACAUGCUCUCCGCUCCUCUCUCUGCCUCUUAGGGGUAGGAACGAAUUUUGGGAGACAUUCAAAUAUUCCAAGCCCCAAGUUCAGCCUGCUCUGGUCCCCAGGUCCCAGCCAGGUCCAGCUCUAACUGGUCUAGAGGAACAGCUAUGACCUCACAGCAUCCCCAUGCUCCUCCUCGCUUUGUGUGCAUGACCCAGGAGUGUGAGGUAGAGUAGCACUUGCUUUUGCAACUUAAUUGAGCUUUACUAUGUUUAAAGCACUUUUUUAUUCUGCUGGGUAGACCUUUCUGCUCAACAGUCUUCAAAACAGGACUGGCAAGUGUCCUAGGAAGAUUCUCAGGGCUAGCAUCACUCACAACUGUAGAAAUUGGAACAUUUCAAAGAGGAAUUCAGGAUCUUUUUCUUGAACUAAUUCAAAGCAGUCUUAGAAAAGUGGUUUUCUUCUCAAGAACAGUCACCAUGGUCAUGGAGGAUAAGCAAUAGCCAUCAGGAACCCAGGACAUGGUACAGAAUGCUGGGAAUUGGAAGAGACUAAUAGUACAGUGAUCUAUAUUAUCAUCAUACUGGGCCAGGCCAUAUCAAGCUCUAUAUCAAGCUCCUACAACCAGGACUGGAGAAGGCUAGUCUAAAAGACCCUUAGAGCAGGGACUGUUACUUCUAUGUGUCUCUGCAAAGAAUCAGAGUCUUUUUGCUGUUGUUGAAAGAGUAGAAGAAACCAGAGAUGUGGGAAAUUUUGGAAUUUUUCAGCUAUACAAAAGGAAAAUCUUUUUAUGGUCCUCAAAGUUUUACUGCCACGUAUAUUUAUUUAUAUAUAUCCUUAAAGCAUCUCAUUUAUUUUAGUUAUUAAAUUGUGUUUAUUUACUUGAGUUAUUAGAGGCAGUUUCUUUGAAUUAUAAAUUGUAUUCAAAGCCUUAAGGCACCCUAACUUAAAUUCAGAGGAUAUACACUUCUGUCCUUUUCUUAUACUAAAUUGAUCAUGGAGACAAGUGUACACAGUGGCACUGUGUUUAUGGUGUGUGAUUGAAGGCCAUGAUGAAGUUAUAUAGUUGAUAUUUGAAUGACCCUUAAAACAAAUUUAUCACAGAAGUAAAAAUACAAUGAAAACAACCCUAUAUGUUUUAUUAACAUGUGGAACUCUACAGCAGUAAAAUAGUGCUGAUAGUGGUAAAAUACUUUUGGUUUAUCAGAGACAACUUUAGAACAUAGGACUGCUACAUGCCUGCCUCAUCGAUCUGGAUGAGUGCUCUAAAAAUCUUCCUGUGGGAUCAAACAGAAGAACUCCAUUCUCCAGUGACCUAACACUUAAGUGUGGCCCAUUCUUAAAAUAAUAUUUUCCACUGGAGUUUGGUUGCUUGGAACACUGAAUGGCUUACCUCUUGUAAGACAUAAUCCAAAAUCUCCUGCCAGAGAUUUAUGGAAUUUCCACAUACACUCAGCAAGUGAAGAAUUUAUUCUCCAAUGUCUUUCUAUGUUACACAUGAUAUAGAAAGCUGCUUUGUCUAAACUUGCCUGAGUUAAAUGUAAAUGUAUUUGCCAAAAUAAAAUUCCC